rnacentral:rRNA from 1 species
UGGGGAAUAUUGGGCAAUGGGCGCAAGCCUGACCCAGCAACGCCGCGUGAGGGAAGAAGGUCUUCGGAUUGUAAACCUCUGUCCUUGGGGAAGAAAAAAAUGACGGUACCCCUGGAGGAAGUCCCGGCUAACUACGUGCCAGCAGCCGCGGUAAUACGUAGGGGGCGAGCGUUAUCCGGAAUUAUUGGGCGUAAAGAGUACGUAGGUGGUUUUUUAAGCGCAGGGUUUAAGGCGAUGGCUCAACUGUCGUUCGCCCUGUGAACUGGAAGACUUGAGUACAGGAGAGGAAAGCGGAAUUCCUAGUGUAGCGGUGAAAUGCAUAGAUAUUAGGAGGAACACCAGUGGCGAAGGCGGCUUUCUGGACUGUAACUGACACUGAGGUACGAAAGCGUGGGGAGCAAACA